CAGCUGGGCCUUCACUCACCGCGCAGGCGCAGCACGAGGCAGUUGUCAUGGCAACGGUCUCGGACUUCAGGAAGUGAUUGGAAAAGUGUCGACGUGUUUGGGAACUCUUGAAACUUCACCCUCGGACGAAAAACACUUGUUGUUGGGAGACGAGAAGAGCUGUGCGGAGGCGCAGGAGGAGAUGACGAUGCUUACUCGCUUUUCUCCCGUCCACCCACGACCCGGUGAGAUAAAAGAGCACCUAAAAGAACGUCUUUACCUGCGUUACGCGACACUAAGACAAAGAGCAACAGGGCGAGGCUUGAAGGUGCAUGCAGCCAUCUGUUUGAAGAUGGAGCUGGCAGGAAGUGGGCUGAUUUAUACCCUGGUCAAUGUCAGGUGGCGCUCCCUCGCCCGCGUAUGAUGCGCCAUAUGCUGCCAAUAUGAAGGAGCUCUGCUCUUUAUGUCUCUGUUGUGUCAGCGGGGGAAGAAGAGCUUCCCCAGAGGAGAUAUAUAGGUGCAGGAAUAUGUGGCACAGCUGUGAGGAUGAAAGGGACAGCCAAGCAUAUCAGUAUGUAUCGCCAUGGACACCUCGUCAAUAUCAAUAAA